rnacentral:rRNA from 1 species
GAUGAACGCUGGCGGCGUGCCUAAUACAUGCAAGUCGAGCGAACAGACGAGGAGCUUGCUCCUCUGACGUUAGCGGCGGACGGGUGAGUAACACGUGGAUAACCUACCUAUAAGACUGGGAUAACUUCGGGAAACCGGAGCUAAUACCGGAUAAUAUAUUGAACCGCAUGGUUCAAUAGUGAAAGACGGUUUUGCUGUCACUUAUAGAUGGAUCCGCGCCGCAUUAGCUAGUUGGUAAGGUAACGGCUUACCAAGGCAACGAUGCGUAGCCGACCUGAGAGGGUGACCGCCCACAGGAGAACGAGACCAGGGACAAGCGUCCGAGGGGAGGCAGAGGGGGGGAUCCUUCCGCAUGGGGGAAAGGCCGGACGGAGCACCCCGGGGGGAGUGAUAAGGGUCUUGGGAUCGAAAAACUGUUUUAUGGGGGAAAAAAAAAUGGGAAAGAAAUUAUCCCCUUUUGGACGGUACUUAAUAAGAAGCCCACGGCAAACUCCGGC